UGUACAUAGUUUAUACUAAGUGACCCAUAAGUUGAGGAGGCGGUGACCGUGGCGGUGUAGGUUGAAGAGGUAGCCAACAUUGUUUUUUUUUAAUUUGGGUAGCCCCCAAAAUAUUGGGACAUAUAAAAAAAGACAACUCUGUUCCGCAGAGUAGCUGUCGACAUUAUAGUUGCGCCGGCACUUUGUUGACUCUAGAGAACCUUGGGACAAUCGCACAUCCCCAUGACGGCAACUUUGCAUUCGGAUGUCAUCCAUAUCAACUUUCGAUGCCAGUUUCUGCGCCUACCAUGGUGACCCCAGGGAAUCAGGGUUCCAUUCCGUACAGGGACCCUGAGAAAUGGCUACCACAUGCAAGGAAGGCAGCAAGGGCGCAAAUGACCCACUCCCGAUGCGGGAAGGUAGUGACAAAAAAUAACAAUACAGGACUCUUUAGAGGCCCUGUAAUUGUAAUGAGUCCACUUGAAAUCCUUUAACUCUGAUCAAUUGGAAGGAAGUCUGCUGCAGAGCCACUGACCCGUGCGUGCUGCAGCUAA